GAUGAACGCUGGCGGCGUGCCUAAUACAUGCAAGUCGAGCGAAGCGGGGACGGGUGAGAAACACGUGGAUAACCUCCUAUACGACUGGGAUAACUUCGGGAAAACGGAGCUAAACCGGAUACUUAUAACUGGAUCCGCCCUGCAUUAGCUAGUUGGUAAGGUAACGGUUUACAAAGGAAACGAUGCAUAGUCGACCUGCGAGGGUGAGCGGCCAAAUGGGACCUGAGACACGUUCCAGACUCCUACGGUAGGCAGCAGUAGGGAAUCUUCCGCAAUGGGCGAAAGCCUGACGGAGCAACGCCGAGUGAGUGAUGAAGGUCUUCGGAUCGUAAAACUCUGUUAGUAGGGAAGCGGUACCUAAUCAGAAAGCCCCGGCUAACUACGUGCCAGCAGCCGCGGUAAUAC
rnacentral:rRNA from 1 species